UGCAAGUCGAACGGAGGCCCUAGCUUGCUAGGUGUCCUUAGUGGCGCACGGGUGAGUAACACGUGGGAACAUACCUUAUAGUACGGAAUAACUGCGGGAAACUGUAGCUAAUACCGUAUACUCCAGUAAUGGGAAAGAUUUAUCGCUAUAAGAUUGGCCCGCGCAAGAUUAGCUUGUUGGUGAGGUAAAAGCUCACCAAGGCUUCGAUCUUAGCUGGUUUGAGAGGACGAUCAGCCACACUGGGACUGAGACACGGCCCAGACUCCUACGGGAGGCAGCAGUAGGGAAUAUUGGACAAUGGGGGCAACCCUGAUCCAGCAAUGCAGCGUGAGUGACGAAGGCCUUAGGGUUGUAAAACUCUUUCAUCGGUGAGGAUAAUGACAGUAGCCGAAGAAGAAGGACCGGCUAAUUCCGUGCCAGCAGCCGCGGUAAUACGGAAGGUCCUAGCGUUGUUCGGAAUUACUGGGCGUAAAGCGCAUGUAGGCGGAACAGAAAGUUAGAAGUGAAAUCCCUGGGCUCAACCUAGGAAUUGCUUUUAAAACUUCUGUUCUGGAAUUCAGGAGAGGAAAAUGGAAUUUCCAGUGUAGAGGUGAAAUUCGUAGAUAUUGGAAGGAACACCAGUGGCGAAGGCGAUUUUCUGGACUGAUAUUGACGCUGAGAUGCGAAGGCAUGGGUAGCAAACGGGAUUAGAUACCCCGGUAGUCCAUGCAGUAAACGAUGGGUGCUA
rnacentral:rRNA from 1 species